rnacentral:rRNA from 1 species
GGCCAGACUCCUACGGGAGGCAGCAGUGGGGAAUAUUGCACAAUGGGGGAAACCCUGAUGCAGCGACGCCGCGUGAGCGAUGAAGUAUUUCGGUAUGUAAAGCUCUAUCAGCAGGGAAGAAAAUGACGGUACCUGAUUAAGAAGCCCCGGCUAACUACGUGCCAGCAGCCGCGGUAAUACGUAGGGGGCAAGCGUUAUCCGGAUUUACUGGGCGUAAAGGGAGCGUAGACGGUGAUGCAAGUCAGAAGUGAAAGCCCGGGGCUCAACUCCGGGACUGCUUUUGAAACUGUGUAACUGGAGUGCAGGAGAGGUAAGUGGAAUUCCUAGUGUAGCGGUGAAAUGCGUAGAUAUUAGGAGGAACACCAGUGGCGAAGGCGGCUUACUGGACUGUAACUGACGUUGAGGCUCGAAAGCGUGGGGAGCAAACAGGAUUAGAUACCCCAGUAU